rnacentral:rRNA from 1 species
AUUGAACGCUGGCGGCAGGCUUAACACAUGCAAGUCGAGCGGAGAUGAGGUGCUUGCACCUUAUCUUAGCGGCGGACGGGUGAGUAAUGCUUAGGAAUCUGCCUAUUAGUGGGGGACAACAUUCCGAAAGGAAUGCUAAUACCGCAUACGUACUACGGGAGAAAGCAGGGGAUCUUCGGACUUUGCGCUAAUAGAUGAGCCUAAGUCGGAUUAGCUAGUUGGUGGGGUAAAGGCCUACCAAGGCGACGAUCUGUAGCGGGUCUGAGAGGAUGAUCCGCCACACUGGGACUGAGACACGGCCCAGACUCCUACGGGAGGCAGCAGUGGGGAAUAUUGGACAAUGGGGGGAACCCUGAUCCAGCCAUGCCGCGUGUGUGAGGAAGGCCUUAUGGUUGUAAAGCACUUUAAGCGAGGAGGAGGCUACUGAGACUAAUACUCUUGGAUAGUGGACGUUACUCGCAGAAUAAGCACCGGCUAACUCUGUGCCAGCCGCCGCUGUAA